rnacentral:misc_RNA from 1 species
AAAUAGAGUGCAUUUUGAAGCUUUUUAGCUUCAGUUGGAAAUAUCUAAGCGCGAUUAUUCAUUAAAGCUAUUUGAUUAUCAUUGUGCCACAACCAACACAGGAAAUAGAAGUAGGACAUAACUUUAUUUGAAAGGAGAGACAAGGAAAUUAGUCUUCGCAUAGAAGACUGAUGCCAAAAACACAUCAGAAGACACACAAGGAAACAGGACACAGCAUGGUCAAUUAUUGAAGAGAAAUGACCAAACUCCUGUAGCUAGACUAGCAGCCGCCCUUUUCAAUUCUUUUGCAUGGCAAGAACCUUCGCCCAAGCUGGUCUUGCAGUGAUAUCAGCUGCCCAUGCGCUAACAUGGGGCCGUGAAUCGAUCAAUUUUUUGCUUUGUGUCACCAACAGCAAGUGUAAGUUAGGUAGAUGGUGCAGAUCUGCCAAGGUGAAGGAGUCACCAGCCAAAUACUUGGAUUGAGCUAGCCGUGACUCGUAGACAUCAAGAACGUUAGCCAAUUUAGCUUCGUUUUCCUCUACUGCUGCUGGAUCGGUGGUCAGCCCAAAAAAUGGCUUGUAAAAUACUUCCCAGUUCAGCUUUGAAGCUGCUGGUUCAAAUUUUUGAGCCUCCACCUCCAUCCACACUGAUACUAUUGCCAUCUGCUUGCCUGUGCACAAAAGCUGGGUUCCCUUGUCAGGGUUCUCGUGGGUGAUGUAUUGGGUAAUUGCCCUUGAUUCUGCAUACCCAAAGGUUCAAGUUACAUAUAGAAAACACAAAACCAUAGUCUUAGUAGUAGGGCCAUAAUUAGACAUAGAAACCAAGAAAAACCAUACCAAAGAGCUUGAGAUCUCCAUCUUCCAAAGCCGGAACUUGACCAAAUGGCUUCAUCAUCCAGACAAAAGUUUUAUGUUACAUUAGAGGCUAAUACGAUCGAUGCUUGAAAAAAUUGAAAGAAAGAAAUUAAACAUCUUUUUCCAGCACUUACAUUGAGGGAGAUGAAAGGCUCUUUCUUGUGCUCGCCUGCUCCCAUAUUCACAUUAACAAACUCAAACUCCAACUCUUUCUCAUAGAGGGAGACGAGAACUCGCUGUGUAGCUGUUGAGAAAGGGCUUCCAUGGACUUUGAUGGUUGCCAUCAUACGCCUUAAGCUGAGAUACUGAUGAAAAACAAAGAGGAAAGAUAAG